rnacentral:rRNA from 1 species
AUUGAACGCUGGCGGCAGGCCUAACACAUGCAAGUCGAACGGUAACAGGAAGAAGCUUGCUUCUUUGCUGACGAGUGGCGGACGGGUGAGUAAUGUCUGGGAAACUGCCUGAUGGAGGGGGAUAACUACUGGAAACGGUAGCUAAUACCGCAUAACGUCGCAAGACCAAAGAGGGGGACCUUCGGGCCUCUUGCCAUCGGAUGUGCCCAGAUGGGAUUAGCUUGUUGGUGGGGUAACGGCUCACCAAGGCGACGAUCCCUAGCUGGUCUGAGAGGAUGACCAGCCACACUGGAACUGAGCCACGGUCCAGACUCCUACGGGAGGCAGCAGUGGGGAAUAUUGCACAAUGGGCGCAAGCCUGAUGCAGCCAUGCCGCGUGUAUGGAGAAGGCCUUCGGGUUGUAAAGUACUUUCAGCGGGGAGGAAGGGAGUAAAGUUAAUACCUUUGCUCAUUGACGUUACCCGCAGAUGAAGCACCGGCUAACUCCGUG